rnacentral:rRNA from 1 species
GACGAACGCUGGCGGCGUGCCUAAUACAUGCAAGUAGAACGCUGAAGCGAGGAGCUUACUCUUCUUGGAUGAGUCGCGAACGGGUGAGUAACGCGUAGGUAACCUGCCUUGUAGCGGGGGAUAACUAUUGGAAACGAUAGCUAAUACCGCAUAACAAUGGAUGACACAUGUCAUUUAUUUGAAAGGGGCAAUUGCUCCACUACAAGACGGACCUGCGUUGUAUUAGCUAGUAGGUGAGGUAAUGGCUCACCUAGGCGACGAUACAUAGCCGACCUGAGAGGGUGGUCGGCCGCACUGGGACUGAGACACGGCCCAGACUCCUACGGGAGGCAGCAGUAGGGAAUCUGCGGCAAUGGGGGCAACCCUGACCGAGCAACGCCGCGUGAGGGAAGAAGGUUUUCGGAUCGUAAAGCUCUGUUGUAAGUCAAGAACGGGUGUGAGAGUGGAAAGUUCACACUGUGACGGUAGCUUACCAGAAAGAGACGGCUAACUACGUG